rnacentral:misc_RNA from 1 species
GAAAAAUUUCAGUGCCUUUCUGCAACUUUCCAAGAUUAGCAUUUUUUUACUCUGUUCUUUUUUUCCACCAAUUACAAAGUUGUGGGAAAUUCUAUGUGUUGGCUAUGCAGAAUUGUUUUUAGAUUGAAUUGAAUUGAAGAAAAAAGAUGUGUGUUUUUGGGGCAAUGGAUGGGAAGAGAUUUGUUGUAUGCUGUUUGCAUUUGGAGAUUUUGGUGUGGAUGCUUUUAGCUUUUGUUGUACAGCUUUCAGAUGAAGCUAACCCUGGAGAUGUUGCUGCAAUUAAUAACUUAUAUGCUUCUCUGGGAUCGCCAUCCCUUCCGGGCUGGGGUGCUGUUGGUGGAGACCCAUGUAAUGGACUUUGGCAAGGGGUCGAAUGCGAGAAUGGAAGCAUACUGACAAUUCAACUCAAUGCUGCUAACUUGGGAGGUGAACUUGGGGAUAACUUAGGCUCAUUUUCUUCUCUCAGGACACUAGAUCUGAGCAACAACCAUAUUGGCGGAAGCAUUCCGACUAAUCUGCCAGUUACCUUGCUGCAUAUUUUUCUUUCAGCUAAUGCAUUCACUGGAAGUAUUCCUACUUCUUUGUCUUACCUGAGUCGACUUUCAGCUAUGUCUCUGAAUGGCAAUCAUUUGACUGGAGAAAUUCCUGAUUCCUUUGAAGGCCUUACCGCUUUGGUCAAUCUUGAUUUGUCAAGUAACAAUUUAAGUGGAUCAUUGCCACCAUCUGUAGAAAGUUUGUCUUCCUUGACCACUCUAUAUUUGCAGAAUAAUCAGCUUUCUGGAACUCUUGAUGUUUUGCAGGAUCUACCCCUUAAAAAUUUGAAUGUGGAAAACAACUUGUUUUCUGGGCCCAUACCUCAAAAGUUGUUAGCUAUUCCCAAUUUCAAAAAAGAUGGAAAUCUUUUCAACAGUAGUAUUGCUCCUUCAACUCCACCCACAUCAUCAACAGCGCCUCCCAUUUCUGGGUCUCCAACUUCAGCACAGACGCCAUCUUCUCAAAGCAAACCUAAAACACAGACCGAUGGACCAUCAGCAUCUGCAGAAUCAAGUUCAACAGGAAAAAAAAAGUCUUUAUCUGUUAAAAGGGUGAUCUGGAUAUCAAUUGCAGCAGUUUUGUCAUUUAUCAUAUUGGUUUUAGCAAUCCUUCUCUGUCUGCCAAAGUGCCUCAGGAAAUGGCACGAGACUCAAAGGACCCCCAAACACCAUGAAAUAGCCCCUUAUAUCGGUGCUAGAGAGAAUCCUGGAGAUAGUGGUUCAUUAGUCCAACCUGGCCAUGAUAUAGAAAAAGCUCCCCUAGUUGUGCCGCCAAACGAAAAGCAACCAAGAAGACCGGCUCCCGUUCCGAAGCCACAAGAUGAGCAGCAGGUGAAUGUGCAAACCAUGACUGCGGUGCCAAAGAAGGAUGAUAGUGUGAUAAACCUUGGCAGAUUGGAUAUUGAUUUGACCCCACCACCUCCUCCUCCUCCUCCU